UACAGAGGUCCCAAGCGUUGUUCGGAUUCACUGGGCGUAAAGGGUGCGUAGGUGGUGAGGUAAGUCGGAUGUGAAAUCUCCGGGCUCAACCCGGAAAUGGCAUUGGAAACUACCUUGCUGGAGGAUUUGAGGGGGGAUUGGAAUACUUGGUGUAGCAGUGAAAUGCGUAGAUAUCAAGUGGAACACCAGUGGCGAAGGCGAAUCCCUGGAAACUACCUGACACUGAGGCACGAAAGCUAGGGGAGCAAACAGG
rnacentral:rRNA from 1 species